GGGCCGUUAGCUCAGCGGUUAGAGCAGGGGACUCAUAAUCCCUUGGUCCUAGGUUCGAAUCCUAGACGGCCCA
rnacentral:tRNA from 1 species